rnacentral:misc_RNA from 1 species
AUAAUAAUGAGUAUCUAUGUGAAACAAUUCUUCAAAUUUUAAUAUCAUUACAUUCCAAGUAUUAUUUCAGCUAUCCUAUUGUUCCAAUUUCCAACAUGACGAACACUAAUAAAAAAUCCAAUCGUUGGAAAAAUCACAAUUUUUACUACCUAAACUCGUAAAAAAUUAGAACAUGAUAAUGAGAAGAAGACGAAAUGAUAGCGAUUAUCACAAUUUCCUAAACGAAUCUAAAAAAAUCUCUUCGAGGUUUAAUCUCCUUUACGUUGAUGUGCAUCAACGUGAAAAAGCUUUCUAUCCGACUACCUCGACCGUCUCUUGUCUCGCGUUUCUCUUCUCGCAUCGCAUGGAAGCUUAUGUUCUCCCUUCGAGGAGACAGUCAUGUAAACGCAUAUAUAAACAUAUGUAUGUAUACGUGCUACUUGGAUUUUUCGACACAACGACGAGGUGUAAGAUCGAUUCAACACAUUCGCAUGUCUUGUGUUUCU